rnacentral:rRNA from 1 species
AACGAACGCUGGCGGCAUGCCUAACACAUGCAAGUCGAACGAGACCUUCGGGUCUAGUGGCGCACGGGUGCGUAACGCGUGGGAACCUGCCCUUAGGUUCGGAAUAACUCCCCGAAAGGGGUUCUAAUACCGGAUAAUGUCUUCGGACCAAAGAUUUAUCGCCUUUGGAUGGGCCCGCGUUGGAUUAGCUAGUUGGUAGGGUAAAAGCCUACCAAGGCGACGAUCCAUAGCUGGUCUGAGAGGAUGAUCAGCCACACUGGGACUGAGACACGGCCCAGACUCCUACGGGAGGCAGCAGUGGGGAAUAUUGGACAAUGGGCGAAAGCCUGAUACAGCAAUGCCGCGUGAGUGAUGAAGGCCUUAGGGUUGUAAAGCUCUUUUACCCGGGAUGAGAAUGACAGUACCGGGAGAAUAAGCUCCGGCUAACUCCGUG